UUGACCUACGGGGGGCAGCAGUGGGGAAUAUUGCACAAUGGGCGCAAGCCUGAUGCAGCGACGCCGCGUGCGGGAUGGAGGCCUUCGGGUUGUAAACCGCUUUUGUUCAAGGGCAAGGCACGGUCUUUGGCCGUGUUGAGUGGAUUGUUCGAAUAAGCACCGGCUAACUACGUGCCAGCAGCCGCGGUAAGACGUAGGGAGCAAGCGUUAUCCGGAUUUAGUUGUCGUAAAGGGCUCGUAGGCGG
rnacentral:rRNA from 1 species